rnacentral:rRNA from 1 species
GACGAACGCUGGCGGCGUGCUUAACACAUGCAAGUCGAACGGUAAGGCCCCUUCGGGGGUACACGAGUGGCGAACGGGUGAGUAACACGUGGGUGAUCUGCCCUGCACUCUGGGAUAAGCCUGGGAAACUGGGUCUAAUACCGGAUAGGACCUCAUGCUUCAUGGCGUGGGGUGGAAAGAUUUAUUGGUGCAGGAUGAGCCCGCGGCCUAUCAGCUUGUUGGUGGGGUAAUGGCCUACCAAGGCGACGACGGGUAGCCGGCCUGAGAGGGCGACCGGCCACACUGGGACUGAGACACGGCCCAGACUCCUACGGGAGGCAGCAGUGGGGAAUAUUGCACAAUGGGCGAAAGCCUGAUGCAGCGACGCCGCGUGAGGGAUGACGGCCUUCGGGUUGUAAACCUCUUUCAGCAUCGACGAAGCGCAAGUGACGGUAGAUGCAGAAGAAGCACCGGCCAACUACGUG